CAAACAGGACGGUAGGCAAACAGGACGGUAGGCAAACAGGACGGUAGGCACAACAGGGACGAGCAAACAGACGGUAGGCAAACAGGACGGUCAGGCACCAGGACGGCAGGCAAACAGGACGGUAGGCAAACAGGGACGUCAGGCAAACAGGACGGUAGGCAAACAGUCAGGCAAACAGGACGGUAGGCAAACAGACUAGGCAACAGGACUGAGGCAAACAGACGUAGGCAAACAGGAGCGGUAAGGCAACAGGACGGUAGGCAAACAGGACGUCAGGCAAACAGGACUGUAGGCAAACAGGACGUCAGGCAAACAGGACGUCAGGCAAACAGGACGGUAGGCAAACAGGACGGCAGGCAAAACAGGACGGUAGGCAACAGGAGGUAGGCAAACAGGACGGUAGGCAAACAGGACGGUAGGCAAACAGGACGGUAGCAAACAGACGGAUAGCAAACAGGACGUGCAACAGACGUAGGCAACAGACGCAGGCAACAGGACGUAGGCAAACAGGACGUCAGGCAAACAGGACAAGGCAGGCAGACGUCAGGCAACAGGACGAGCAGCAGGACCAGCAACGGACGUCAGGCAAACAGGACUGGC
rnacentral:lncRNA from 1 species